rnacentral:rRNA from 1 species
UACGGAGGGGGUUAGCGUUGUUCGGAAUUACUGGGCGUAAAGCGCACGUAGGCGGAUCAGAAAGUUGGGGGUGAAAUCCCGGGGCUCAACCCCGGAACUGCCUUUGAUACUGGUAGUCUUGAGUUCGAGAGAGGUAAGUGGAAUUCCGAGUGUAGAGGUGAAAUUCGUAGAUAUUCGGAGGAACACCAGUGGCGAAGGCGGCUUACUGGCUCGAUACUGACGCUGAGGUGCGAAAGUGUGGGGAGCAAACAGGAUUAGAUACCCCUGUAGUCC